rnacentral:rRNA from 1 species
UACGAAGGGUGCAAGCGUUACUCGGAAUUACUGGGCGUAAAGCGUGCGUAGGUGGUUGUUUAAGUCUGUUGUGAAAGCCCUGGGCUCAACCUGGGAACUGCAGUGGAAACUGGACGACUAGAGUGUGGUAGAGGGUAGCAGAAUUCCUGGUGUAGCAGUGAAAUGCGUAGAGAUCAGGAGGAACAUCCAUGGCGAAGGCAGCUACCUGGACCAACACUGACACUGAGGCACGAAAGCGUGGGGAGCAAACAGG